UACGUAGGGGGCAAGCGUUGUCCGGAUUUAUUGGGCGUAAAGAGCGUGUAGGCGGCCAUACAGGUCAGCUGUGAAAACUCGAGGCUCAACCUCGAGACGUCGGUUGAAACCGUAUGGCUAGAGUCCGGAAGAGGAGAGUGGAAUUCCCGGUGUAGCGGUGAAAUGCGCAGAUAUCGGGAAGAACACCCGUGGCGAAGGCGGCUCUCUGGGACGGUACUGACGCUGAGACGCGAAAGCGUGGGGAGGCAAACAGGG
rnacentral:rRNA from 1 species